UCCUUCUUAGCUCAGUUGGUAGAGCGCGUCACUAGUACCGUGCGAGUGGCAUAUUACUUUGAUGACGAGGUCAGUCGUUCGAGUCGGCUAGAAGGAA